rnacentral:rRNA from 1 species
UACCUGCAGCUCGAGUGGUAACCGCUAUUAUUGGGCCUAAAGCGUCCGUAGCCGGUUUGGUAAAUAUCUGGGUAAAUCGUGAGGCUUAACUUCACGAAUUUCGGAUAGACUGCCAGACUUGGGAUCGGGGGAGGUCAGAGGUACUCCAGGGGUAGCGGUGAAAUGUUGUAAUCCUUGGAGGACCACCGGUAGCGAAGGCGUCUGACUAGAACGAGUCCGACGGUGAGGGACGAAGCCCUGGGGCGCAAACCGGAUUAGAUACCCGGGUAGUCCAGGGUGUAAACGAUGUGGGCUUUGUAUUGGAGGUCCCACGUGGGCGUCCAGUGCAGAAGAGAAGUUGUUAAGCCCACCGCCUGGGAAGUACGGUCGCAAGGCUGAAACUUAAAGGAAUUGGCGGGGGAGCACCACAAGGGGUGAAGCUUGCGGUUC